UCCCUGGUGGUCUAGUGCUAAGACUCUGCAGUCUUAAUGCAGGGGUUUCAGGUUCAAACUCUGGUCAGGAAA
rnacentral:tRNA from 1 species